AGUGAACGCUGGCGGUAGGCCUAACACAUGCAAGUCGAACGGCAGCACAGUAAGAGCUUGCUCUUACGGGUGGCGAGUGGCGGACGGGUGAGGAAUACAUCGGAAUCUACUUUUUCGUGGGGGAUAACGUAGGGAAACUUACGCUAAUACCGCAUACGACCUACGGGUGAAAGCAGGGGCUCUUCGGACCUCGCGCGAUUGAAUGAGCCGAUGUCGGAUUAGCUAGCUGGCGGGGUAAAGGCCCACCAAGGCGCCGAUCCGUAGCUGGUCUGAGAGGAUGAUCAGCCACACUGGAACUGAGACACGGUCCCGACUCCUACGGGAGGCAGCAGUCGGGAAUAUUGGACAAUGGGCGCAAGCCUGAUCCAGCCAUACCGCGCCAGUGAAGAAGGCCUUCGGGUUGUAAAGCCCUUUUGUUGGGAAAGAAAAGCAGCAGGUUAAUACCCCGCUGUUCUGACGGUACCCAAAGAAUAAGCACCGGCUAACUUCGUG
rnacentral:rRNA from 1 species